CCUACGGGAGGCAGCAGUAGGGAAUAUUGCUCAAUGAGGGAAACCCUGAAGCAGCAACGCCGCGUGGAGGAUGAAGGUUUUCGGAUUGUAAACUCCUUUUGUUAGAGAAGAUAAUGACGGUAUCUAACGAAUAAGCAACGGCUAACUCCGUGCCAGCAGCCGCGGUAAUACGGAGGGUGCAAGCGUUACUCGGAAUCACUGGGGGUAAAGAGCGCGUAGGCGGGAUAGCAAGUCAGAUGGGAAAUCCUAUGGGUUAACCAUAGAACUGCAUUUGAAACUGUUAUUCUAGAGUAUGGGAGAGGUAGGUGGAAUUCUUGGUGUAGGGGUAAAAUCCGUAGAGAUCAAGAGGAACACUCAUUGCGAAGGCGACCUGCUAGAACAUAACUGACGCUGAUGCGCGAAAGCGUGGGGAGCAAACAGGAUUAGAUACCCUAGUAGUC
rnacentral:rRNA from 1 species